ACUUUGACACAGAUGGUCUGCUCAGACCACAGAUUUACUUUCAUGACUGUCAGGACACUUACAUUCAAGGAAAAAAAAGACAAACUUGCUGUCCUUGUUUGUGUAGGCUGGUUUGUUUUGCCUUUUUUGUUUUUAAUUUCAAAAGGUGCUGGUUCCUAGUGACCCAUUCUUCACAGCUGGGAAAAUCCAUGGAUACAAGAUGCUUGAGGCCACGUUUAUGUGCUAUCUCCACCCUCUGUAUUUUGGAGUUUGAGGAUUACAAAUUCUAUCAGGAACACUGCAAAUCCCUUUGGUUUCAUGUAACUCUUGCCCAUUUUGGAAAAGGUGCUAGAGAGAGAACAUUUGUCAGGAACUUACACCACCUUAACUUCAUUUUUUAUCAACUACACAGUUGAUAGGUUGUAAUGGUUUCCAGAUUGGUGCAGAUUUUUUUGAGAUAUGUGUAAUCUGCAGUUUGUUUUUUUUUAAUGUUGUGUAAAUACUCAAUUUACUGUUUAGCUAAUAAUGCUAAAAAGGGUGCUUAAAUAAAGGUGCUGGUUUAAUAUAAUUAGCACAGCUGUUCAUGGCUCUGUUUCAGAUACCAGUAGUGUUUAUUUCAUGACAAACAUUAGACAAAAUGGAGCUGGGAUUAGCUUGAGAAUUUCAAUCAAAGGAACUGCCUUAACAGCAAUUUCUUGUCACAAGUCAAGCAGGAAGAAGGAAUUCUUAAAUAAACAAAGCAGACCACUGCAGCAUCCAAAGAUGCUUUUUACUUCUUAGGAACAACAGGCCUUCAUGCACCUAUAUUUCUUUUUUUUUUUGGUGUGGGAAAACCAAACUUAGUUUGUGCUUGGAACCCCUAGCUUGAGUUUUGAAGCUUAACAGAUGAGACUUGUCUAUCUGCAAUACCCUGCAGAUAAAAGGCAUCUUUCAGCCAGCCCAGUCUCCAAUAAUUAGUUCUUAAGCUUCAUAAAUAUCUCAUUUUAUCAGUGCUUCUGUCACUAUCCAUAUGUGAAGUUAUAAACUACCCUGGGUGUAGGCCAUAAAUGAACUGAUGAUAUUAACUGAAUGUGAGGUAAAUCAGGGCCCUAUAAAGCUCAUCAGUGAGCAGGAAUCAAUACGAAGGAAACAGUAAAAUUUCAGGUACUUUUUGCUCUGAUAAAUAAAUUGGUUACUCUGGGCUCUUCUGGGAGGAAGCACAGACUGAAGUGGAAACCCAGAUAUCUGCUUUUCACCUUACUCUGCUAUAAAAUAGUCACAACACCAGCAACUUAGAUUUGACUGAAGCUUUAUCUAUAAACACAGCCCUCGUGGUUUUAUAUCUUACAUCUGAUUUCAGUUAUGUUCACCAUUUACAGGCAUAUAAAUAUAACCUGGAGAUACAACCUACGUACAAUAAAUAGAAAUAUUUAUAGUUAAUAGUUUGGGGAUUAGAAUAGCUCCACUUUUUAACCCAUAUUUCUCUUCCACACUUGUCCAGGUACCUGGAACAUUUCACCAUUCCAGUCGAUGGAACAAGGCAUCUAGUCUUUGAGAGAAGAGCCAAUUAUUUCUAUUCUGGGAAAGCUCCCAAAUGAGCACAUCCUCUUGCCCCCAAGGCCAAGAUGAUCACCAUUCUCAGUGAUCCAUGGGCUUUUGACCUGACCUGAACUUAAUUACAGUCAAAGGUGGAACUCCAGCAGCUGAUAAAAUAUGCUAAUCUACUAACUUCAGUUAAAAUGAGUACUGGAAAGAAGAUUUCAGACAAAAAAAAACAAGAAAAAAGAAAAAAGCAAAUUUCAGCUAAGAAGAAAUUUUGGAACUUUGUGGUUCAAAAAUGCCUGCAUACCAGCACUUUAUUAUUGCUGGCAACACUGGCACAGCUUAGGGGUGUGAAGCCCUUUUUAAAUACAUAUUCUCUUCAGUGGAUUCUGAAAGCCUGCCAGAAAAAUCAACCCUUUUAGCAGCAUUUAAAUCUGUACUCAGCCUUCAGUGUUGCUGAAAUCUCUGUGGGACUUAAACUUAUCCUUAAAUGCUGCCCUUAGGAGACAUUUUCCUGAGGAACUAAUUUUCUGAAACACGGCCUCUAAAAGCAUGGAAAACCAGCAAAGUGUCUUUGUCUUCCCAUUUCCCGAACUUCAGAUCAAUUAUAAAAAUACUGAUUUUUAAAAGUUCUUCCAAAGGAGCUCUUUUCUUGUCAGCGUGUGUCACUCUGUCAGUCACAUUUCAAGCCAUGGAUUUGAAAACCGACCUGCAGAAGCAGCUACCUUUGUCAUAAAUUUAACUUGACAGCUUCUCUGUGGGACUUUUAAUUAGGAUUUUUUUUUUAAAGAAAAAAAGAAAAAAACCACUGAAAGUGUCAGUCCAAACACAGUGAGCAAAUGCUGGUAUAUGGAAGGCCUACACAUACUGCCGUCUACUUCAGACUCGGGGAUGAUUUAUAAAAUGCCAAGUUUUGGAGAAAAAGAACUUUUAAAAACUCGUUUCAGGGCCAUAAAAAGAGCUGGUUCUGCAAUUUGAGGGGCUGGGUGGCUCUGAGGCCUGACGGGCGCUGCUGAGGGCUCACCCCGAUAGGCAGAAGUGGAUCUGUGAUGCUGCUCAUUAUCUCGUGUUUUCCACCAAAAACUUGCUGGUCUCGAUGGAGCAAGUUUCAAAAACUCCAUCCUAUUUCAGUGCUGCUUGCUGGAAGCUUGGGUUCCGAGGCGGUGGGAGCUGGUGUGGCUGGGAAGAAUUGAAACCCUCGGGCCGGGUCAGAGCCGCCUCAGCCGUGAGGGCAGAAGCGCCUCCGGUGUCGGUAUGAAAAUGGAUCCGCCUGCGGGAGCUGCCGUCCCUGGCAGCGCUGCUCCCAGGCUGCUCCCUGGAAAACCUCAUUGCUGUGGGGCUGGGGGUCCCAGGCUUCUGUGAAAACCUCGGCUGCUCCCAGGCUGCUCCCUGGAAAACCUCAUUGCUGUGGGGCUGGGGGUCCCAGGCUUCUGUGAAAACCUCGGCUGCUCCUUAAACCAUGAGUGAGGCCGACUGGCGCCGCCUCAGGAUUGCCGCCAUUGCCGCAGCCUCGUCAGCUGCGGGACGUGUUACAGUCCGGCUCCAGAGCAGAAAUUUCCUCGUGGAGUGUGGAGAAAAAAACAUGUAUAGUUGAGUUUAUAGUUCAAGAAGUGGUAAAACUACCCUUAAAGAAGUCAUUAAAUGUGAAUUGACUCAGUG